CCAGACUCCUACGGGAGGCAGCAGUGAGGAAUAUUGGGCAAUGGAGGCAACUCUGACCCAGCCAUGCCGCGUGAGUGAAGAAGGUUUUCGGAUUGUAAAGCUCUUUCGGAUGUGACGAUGAUGACGGUAGCAUCUAAAGAAGCCCCGGCUAACUACGUGCCAGCAGCCGCGGUAAUACGUAGGGGGCAAGCGUUAUCCGGAUUUACUGGGUGUAAAGGGAGCGUAGACGGCAGCGCAAGUCUGAAGUGAAAUGCCGGGGCUUAACCCCGGAACUGCUUUGGAAACUGAGCAGCUAGAGUGCAGGAGAGGUAAGUGGAAUUCCUAGUGUAGCGGUGAAAUGCGUAGAUAUCAGGAGGAACACCGGUGGCGAAGGCGGCCUGCUGGACUGCGACUGACGUUGAGGCCCGAAAGCGUGGGGAGCAAACAGGAUUAGAUACCCGUGUA
rnacentral:rRNA from 1 species